UACGUUCCCGGGCCUUGUACACACCGCCCGUCACGCCAUGGAAGUUGGGAGGACCUGAAGACAGUUGCUGUAAGGCGCUGUUUAGGGUUAAACCGAUGACUGGGGCU
rnacentral:rRNA from 1 species